UUGUACCUACGGGGCGCAGCAGUGAGGAAUAUUGGUCAAUGGGCGAGAGCCUGAACCAGCCAAGUCGCGUGAGGGAAGACGGCCCUACGGGUUGUAAACCUCUUUUGUCAGGGAGCAAGAACGGAUACGUGUAUCCGAGCGAGAGUACCUGAAGAAAAAGCAUCGGCUAACUCCGUGCCAGCAGCCGCGGUAAUACGGAGGAUGCGAGCGUUAUCCGGAUUUAUUGGGUUUAAAGGGUGCGUAGGCGGAAUGCCAAGUCAGCGGUAAAAUCGCGGGGCUCAACCUCGCUCCGCCGUU
rnacentral:rRNA from 1 species